rnacentral:lncRNA from 1 species
GUAGGAAUUACAUUUUGAACUUCGAGUUUUGAUCUUUCCCCAGGUUAACCAGAUAUAGGACUCCUCUGUCUUGCUACGAUGGACAGCCACAGGGAUUCACUUGAAUAAAAGAAGCAACAGUGGGUGCCAGGCUGUUUGAAAUGUGCUGUUUUGUUAUACAUUUAUUACAAAGAAUCUCACAAAAAGAAAAUAUCUCAAAAAGAAUGCCAGGUUAAAGAACCUCCACCUGGAGAACUGGGGGAAGGCAGGGCAAUAAUAUCAACGUCAACAUACAGCACCCUCUGGCCAUACUUUAGCAGUUCCAGGAUGGCCAAGACGACAUCGUUGAUGUAACAGAAACCUGAGGCAUCAGACUUCUUUACAUGAUGCAGUCCCCCAGCCUGGCUUGCUGUAUUUAGACACAUUAUCUGGGCGAAUAGAGCACAAGAGUUUAAUGUAGUCAUCACUGUGGGACUAGGUCAUCUCCUCAGCAUUGGCUCUGUGAGGACGAUAGAUUUCCAUUUUUUUGGUAGAGAUGUAGUUGAGCUGCAAAUCACGAGUCAUGUGGAUUCGGUGAGGCUUCAUUGGGUGGCCCUGUCCAUAAGAUAGUUUCCAACAUCCCUGUUAACAGACGUUCCUCUUGCCCUGAGUCUGUGCCAUCUUUCUCACCACCCAGUGCUCCUGCCAGUCUGAUGUUUUAAUAUUUUUAGAUGGUAAUGCUUUGAGUUUAAAUGGCCUUUGACAAAUUCUAUCCUAAUUUCUAAUUAAGACAAGGAAAGAAAACAAAUAUGGAUAAGGAACAUAAAGUAAUGAAUGGACUGGAA